GUGUGGCAAGCUUGUAUAUAUACCCAAGAAGACUCGAGGCUGCAAUCGCUGCCAAAUGUGCUUUAACAAAGUACUGUGUAAAGGGUCUGAAUACUUAUGUAAGUGUCAUAUUUCAUUUUUUUUCUUUUUUCUAAUACAUUUGCAAAAAAUUCUAGACCUGUUUUUGCUUUGUCAUUAUGGGGUAUUGUGUGUAGAUUGAUGAAGAAUAAAACCAGUUUAAUCCAUUUUCCAACGUGAAAAAGUCAGUGAUCUGAAUACUGCACUGUAUAUGUCAGACUGUCUUAUUGCUGCGGACAUUGCCCAUCAUGUAUUGCUCUAACUUUCAAAAGAUUGUUCUGAAGUAUGCCCCCAAAAGUAUUUUCCUGUGAAUUAAGUCACAGAAAAGUGUGUCUUUUUACACAAAUUAAGGCACAAAAACACACAGGAAAUCUGCUGAAAUGCUUUUUGUACAUAUUCGCAUGAAUUCAGUGUGGGAUCGUGUUCACCAUUAGCAUGUAGAUCAAAUGAUUGGGUAGUUUUGUUUGAUGAUUCCUUUGUCAUUCUGCCAUGCUGCCUUUUCAAUGUGUUCUGUGUCUCUCUUUGCACUGUCUCCACCAAUAGUUGUGCAAAAAUCACUGCAACGUGGGACAAGCAGAUGAAUCAAACAUCCAGGCACAAUUAAACCGCUUGGAAUGGUUGUUUCCCUCUGUAUACCACUGUGUUAUAGAAGGAUAUUUUUGUUGUUGUUGUUGUAUGCUGUUCAGCAAUGCCCUUGUCUAAUGGAGAAUGCAGUGCUAUUAAUGGGUGGAAGAGCCAGGAGAUUGUAUAGCAGUGAUUGUAGAGGAAGACCUAGAGGCUGUGGAGGAAGGAAUGUUUGAUAUCCAUCUAUAACCAGAAGUCUGCAUUCAGCCUAACACAGCUGGGAGGAAACAACAGAAGAUGUGAGCCAGAAGCAUAGCCUACUAUGGCGGCCUUAGUGCUGGAGUCUGUUCAGAAGGGUGCAAUCUGUCAUCUAGAACAGACACGAUUCCCUCUUCUAUAUGACAGACAAUCAUAUCUCCUCUACGUAAUGGAUUUCUGAGUCUGAACAUUGCAUGUAGAAAUGUAAUGAAUAGAGCAGACACGAUUCCCUCUUCUUUGACAGACAAUCAUGUCUGCUCUCUUCAUUCCAUUUCUAUAUGCAACGUUCAGACUGUCUCGGAUAGAAAUCCAUUAUGUAGAGCAGAUAAGAUUGUCUGUUGUGUAGAAGAGGGACUGGUGUAAGCUCUUCAUUCCAUUUCUAUCUGCAAUGUUCAGCGUGUUUCACAUCACUGACUGAACACCCCCGGUGAGACUUCCAGAGAGAGAAGAAAUUGCACUGAACCCAACCCAGGAUACAGACAUGCUGUCACAUCGUGGACAAAAACUGCAACUGCAUAUCUUCAAGCACUCAAUACUUCUUCCUCUGUGUAUCUCAACUCCCUUUAAACAAGUGAAUGUGAUUUUUGACGAGAAUAUCUUUCUAAGUUAAAUCUGCAUUUUAGAUUCUGGAUAUGGGCCCAUGUUUUCAUCUCUUACAUAGUUUUAAGCACUGAAUAUCGAAAAAAAUCCACAUAAUUGUAUUUUCAGGGUAGAGAUGUCAUUGGGUUAGUGUAAUGUUAUUGCCUCCAAGUUUCAGUGGUGUUGUAUUUUCAGUGCAUUUAGCUGUACAUUAUUCUAAAUUACUAACCUAAAUGUCUCUCCAAAAUACAAGAGGUGCUGUUGUUGCCAAGAAAGAAUGUAUAGGCUAGAUGCCACCCGGACUUCCGUCUUUCUGAGAAAGCUUUGCUUUUGUCUUAGUAGUUUGUCAUCUUGUUGAUUUUAGUGAAUGGUAUGAGAGAAAUUUAAAACACCCAUGUGUUCGUUGUCCGAGAUGAAAUGUUUCAGCUCCCGAUCUAACUGUUGACUGCGUUCCUGGAUUGGGAAUCUCACUUGGCGCUAUCUCGACAGCAACAAUGCUGACGUAUUUCCCGCCCUCCUGUUACCUGAAUAUUAAUGACUGUUCUAUGGUAAUUUGACUGUGGUGCGUAAAGUAUGGUAUGUGGUUAUUAUGGUCUGUCUCGGUGCAUGGGCCACUGUACCUUUCCUCUCUGUAACUUUGGAUGUAGUUUGAAACAGUGAAUAUUAUAUAUCGUCCUGAGAUUUGAACUCUAUUUUAUGAGACAUGUUAAAGCCUGUAUUUUAUCCUCCUGAGACCCAGUAAAAAAAAAGGGAUGGAAAAAGGGGUGUUUUGUUUGAACAAAUAUUAUUUGUUAUUUGAUGUGCACUGUAGUGGAUAUAAGCGGGUGAUAGUAAAUAUGGAACAGUACAGUAAGUGAAGAGCAUAGUUGAUGUCCACUACAGAGGACUUUAAUGAACACGCUCUUAUUGUUUCUUCUUUUUUUUUUUAACCAAGGAGAGAAAGUUGCAUGUGAUAUCAUUGAAACUCCCAUAACUUCCUCUCAAAGGUAGAACAGCACAUAAAGUAACUGACCCGUGAUUCCAGAUUUGUAUGAAAUGUGACCUAUGAUUAAUUACAAUAUGAGUCAAAUAGUUUACCUUAAAAAAAAAAUGUAAUUAAGUCUGUUUAAAAUAAGCUUUUCUGUGUUCGAAUGGUGUGGCCGUUUACCUGGUCAUAGAAAAAAAAAAUAUGAUGAACAUAGAUCGCUGAUUGGCCAGCUCAUCUUCCGCUGGAGUAUGACAAUCAUACGCUGAGGAAAUAACAUGCNNNNNNNNNNACCCCCCCACCCCACACACACACACACACAAACUUUGAAAAUGUAAUCAACGUUUUUUGGCCGCAUAUGCAGAUUUGCAGAUGUUAUCGCAGGUGCAGC
rnacentral:lncRNA from 13 species